UUACGGCCAUAUCAUAUUGAAACAACUUUUUCCAUACAAUCACCGAAGUUAAGCAACAUCAAGCCUAGUCUGUUCCUUGAUGGGUUACUGCUUGGGAAUACCAGGUGCUGUAAG